rnacentral:rRNA from 1 species
UACGGGGGGAGCAAGCGUUGUUCGGAUUUACUGGGCGUAAAGGGCGCGUAGGCGGCCACCGCAAGUCGACUGUGAAAUCUCCGGGCUUAACCCGGAAGGGUCAGCCGAUACUGCGGGGCUAGAGUGCAGAAGGGGCAACUGGAAUUCUCGGUGUAGCGGUGAAAUGCGUAGAUAUCGAGAGGAACACUUGCGGCGAAGGCGGGUUGCUGGGCUGACACUGACGCUGAGGCGCGAAAGCUAGGGGAGCGAACGGG